GUCUUUGGCUGUGUUCAAUUGGUAAAACAUGAGACUCUUAAUCUCAGGGGUGUGGAUUCGAAUCCCACAUUGGGCA